GGAUGAGCUCGCGUCUGAUUAGCUAGUUGGUGGGGUAAGAGCCUACCAAGGCGACGAUCAGUAGCUGGUCUGAGAGGAUGAUCAGCCACACUGGGACUGAGACACGGCCCAGACUCCUACGGGAGGCAGCAGUGGGGAAUUUUCCGCAAUGGGCGCAAGCCUGACGGAGCAAGACCGCGUGCGGGAGGACGGCCUAUUGGUUGUAAACCGCUUUUGAUAGGGAAGAAACUCUGACGGUACCUAUCGAAUCAGCAUCGGCUAACUCCGUGCCAGCAGCCGCGGUAAUACGGAGGAUGCAAGCGUUAUCCGGAAUUAUUGGGCGUAAAGCGUCCGUAGGUGGUUGUUCAAGUCUGCUGUUAAAGCGUGCGGCUUAACCGCAUACCAGCAGUGGAAACUGGACGACUAGAGUGCGGUAGGGGUCAGGGGAAUUCCCAGUGUAGCGGUGAAAUGCGUAGAUAUUGGGAAGAACACCGGUGGCGAAAGCGCCUGACUGGACCUGCACUGACACUGA
rnacentral:rRNA from 1 species